rnacentral:rRNA from 1 species
CAUAAGACUGGGAUAACUCCGGGAAACCGGGGCUAAUACCGGAUAACAUUUUGAACCGCAUGGUUCGAAAUUGAAAGGCGGCUUCGGCUGUCACUUAUGGAUGGACCCGCGUCGCAUUAGCUAGUUGGUGAGGUAACGGCUCACCAAGGCAACGAUGCGUAGCCGACCUGAGAGGGUGAUCGGCCACACUGGGACUGAGACACGGCCCAGACUCCUACGGGAGGCAGCAGU